rnacentral:rRNA from 1 species
GAACGAACGCUGGCGGCAGGCCUAACACAUGCAAGUCGAGCGAGGACUUCGGUCCUAGCGGCGGACGGGUGAGUAACGCGUGGGAACGUGCCCUUUGCUUCGGAAUAGCCCUGGGAAACUGGGAGUAAUACCGGAUGAGCCCUUUGGGGAAAAGAUUUAUCGGCGAAGGAUCGGCCCGCGUUGGAUUAGGUAGUUGGUGGGGUAAUGGCCUACCAAGCCGACGAUCCAUAGCUGGUUUGAGAGGAUGAUCAGCCACACAGGGACUGAGACACGGCCCAGACUCCUACGGGAGGCAGCAGUGGGGAAUCUUAGACAAUGGGGGAAACCCUGAUCGAGCCAUGCCGCGUGAGCGAUGAAGGCCUUAGGGUUGUAAAGCUCUUUCAGCUGGGAAGAUAAUGACGGUACCAGCAGAAGAAGCCCCGGCUAACUCCGUG